UUCUUGGCAAGAGGUGCUGCCCUUGGAGUCAGAGCUUCUACCAAAUAGCACAAACUCAAUAUUUUCUGUCUAUGCUGAACUUUGUGAAGCUUCUCUGAAACUUUCCUGGAAGAUCCGGCAACACCAGGCCUUCUUUCUUGCAUGGUCACAGGAGAUGAGAGCAGAGUUGUCUAAACAAGGUACCCCUUUUCUGUGAACUUGAAUGCAGCCUCCCACAGGUUUGGACAAAAGAAUGGCAGGAAGAGGACAGGUGGAACAGGAUGG